UACGAAGGGGGCUAGCGUUGCUCGGAAUCACUGGGCGUAAAGGGUGCGUAGGCGGGUCUUUAAGUCAGGGGUGAAAUCCUGGAGCUCAACUCCAGAACUGCCUUUGAUACUGAGGAUCUUGAGUUCGGGAGAGGUGAGUGGAACUGCGAGUGUAGAGGUGAAAUUCGUAGAUAUCGUAAGGAAGACCAGUGGCGAAGGCGAGUCUCUGGACAGUUACUGACGCUGAGGCACGAAGGCCAGGGGAGCAAACGGG
rnacentral:rRNA from 1 species